UACUGGGACCACCUCCUCUGCUGGUGGAAUUGUGUGUUUCUUUAGUAGAGAUGGGCCUAGCACUCAGAAAGAACUAGUUCCACCAAGCAGCCCCAAACCAACUCACAAAUCUGAGCUGCCUGGUGCGGUUAGAACAUCCAAUGCCAUCCAGCUUCUGUUCCAACGGGCAGUGGACAAAAAGAGAGUCAGCCAAGGGGAUCAGCUUCCUUCAGCCAGUGGGACAGAUCCUUGCGAUUCCCCCAUUAAACAAGAAAUACAUCAUGAAUACUUUCAGCAGUCACCUGUCCCUUACUGUGCUCGAUCUUCACCCAGUACACCUGCUAAUGGUGCAGACCUAGAGGGGGAUUGUAGUGAGCAGGUGACCGGAUGUAAUUUGCAGCCAGUGAUGGCUGAAUCUGACCAGACUGAGGUAUUUCCAUUCUCUCACAGUAAGGAAGACUUAUUGAACUGUGAGAAAUGUGCCCUCCUCUUACCAGUGUGGGACAUCCCAGAGCACAUGGAUUAUCACUUUGCUCAGGAAUUGCAGAACUCCUUUUCCAUCACAUCCAGCCCUGCCCAAUCCAUCCCCUUGCCCAGCCUGGCACGUACACCCACAGGCCGUCCAAAGAAUAAACCCAAGCACCAGCUGGAGUCUAGUGCCAAACGUCCUCGAAGUGAGGGAAGCAGAACUCUAGACUCAUUCUUCAAAAAACUUGGCCCAUGAAAGCACAGAUCUUUCAGUAUAUUUAGUAGUUCUAUGAUGGUCCGCCUGCCCGAAUUUAGUCCUCUCAAUCCUGGUUGUAGCCUUUCACCCUUGUUUGGAAAAUCAGACAUUGACCAUUGAAAAUGUGACGUGUUGGCUCCUCACUUGUGUGAGCACAAAUAAUCAUGCAAAAAAAUACCAAGGAUUUUUAUAAUGGAGACAUGAUUACUGCUUCUGAUAUACAUUAAAUAUUUGUAUGGUUGCCUUUAGUUUUGUGAAAAAGCUUUAGCAUGAUAUCGAGGUACGUGUCCCCUGAUCAGGAAUCUGUGUGCUGGGAAUGUUAUACUCCAAUAGUUGGAGAUAAUGUGAAUAUAAAUGGGGAUGAUUGGCAUGCCCCCAGCCCCUAUGUCGUGCUCCCUGGCAGCCAGUCUGUAACUGGCUCCAGCAGCUCCCUGGCAGACCGUCUGUAACUGGCUCCGCCUGCUCCCUGGCAGACCGUCUGUAACUGGCUCCGCCUGCUCCCUGGCAGACAGUCUGUAACUGGCUCCGCCUGCUCCCUGGCAGACAGUCUGUAACUGGCUCCGCCUGCUCCCUGGCAGACAGUCUGUAACUGGCUCCGCCUGCUCCCUGGCAGACAGUCUGUAACUGGCUCCGCCUGCUCCCUGGCAGACAGUCUGUAACUGGCUCCGCCUGCUCCCUGGCAGACAGUCUGUAACUGGCUCCGCCUGCUCCCUGGCAGACAGUCUGUAACUGGCUCCGCCUGCUCCCUGGCAGACAGUCUGUA